rnacentral:rRNA from 1 species
AUUGAACGCUGGCGGAAUGCUUUACACAUGCAAGUCGAACGGUAGAGGGGGCAACCCCUUGAGAGUGGCGAACGGGUGAGUAAUAUAUCGGAACGUGCCCAGUCGUGGGGAUAACGUAGCGAAAGCUACGCUAAUACCGCAUACGAUCUACGGAUGAAAGCGGGGGAUCGCAAGACCUCGCGCGAUUGGAGCGGCCGAUAUCAGAUUAGGUAGUUGGUGAGGUAAAGGCUCACCAAGCCGACGAUCUGUAGCUGGUCUGAGAGGACGACCAGCCACACUGGGACUGAGACACGGCCCAGACUCCUACGGGAGGCAGCAGUGGGGAAUUUUUGGGACAAUGGGCGCAAGCCUGAUCCAGCAAUGCCGCGUGCAGGAUGAAGGCCUCGGUUGUAACGUAGCG